AUGGAAAAAAAAAUCAAAUAUUUAUUAUGUAUUGAAUGUCAACGAUUUAUUGUAUAUUCUUGUUGUGAUUACUUAUGGAUUAUUAUUAGAAUGUUGCUUUUCUUUUUUCUUUUUUUAUUCGUGAUGAAUGAGGAUAUAAAUUAUAAGGUAGUGUCUCUAAGUGGUAAGUUUGGUUGCAGAAUUAACAAGGUUUCAAUUCAAGGCUGUCGUUUAUAG